rfam:Triticum aestivum genome assembly, contig: Triticum_aestivum_CS42_TGACv1_scaffold_577489_7BL
GAAAUACUCCCUCCGUCCAAAGAUACUUGUCGAAGAAAUAGAUGUAUCUAGAUGUAUUUUAGUUCUAGAUACAUUCAUUUUUAUGCAUUUUUUUGACAAGUAUUUUUGAACGGAGAGAGCAGAUA